UACGUAGGGACCGAGCGUUGUCCGGAAUCAUUGGGCGUAAAGAGCGUGUAGGCGGCUUGCUAAGUCUUGCGUGAAAUCUCGGGGCUCAACCCCGAGCGGUCGUGGGAAACUGGCAGGCUAGAGUGCGGGAGAGGAGAAUGGAAUCCUGGUGUAGCGGUGAAAUGCGCAGAUAUCAGGAAGAACACCCGUGGCGAAGGCGGUUCUCUGGAACGCAACUGACGCUGAGACGCGAAAGCGUGGGGAGCAAACAGG
rnacentral:rRNA from 1 species